rnacentral:tRNA from 2 species
GGGUAAGUAACUCAGUUGGUUAGAGUAUACGCUUGAUAAGCGUAAAGUCGGGGGUUCAAGUCCCUCCUUACCCA